UUAGGAAUAUUGCGCAAUGGGCGAAAGCCUGACGCAGCGACGCCGCGUGGAGGAUGAAGGUCUUCGGAUUGUAAACUUCUGUUGGAUGGGAUGAAAUACGCAAUCUUAAUAAGAUUGCGGGAUGACAGUACCAUCAAAGAAAGCACCGGCAAAACUCGUGCCAGCAGCCGCGGUAAUACGAGUGGUGCUAGCGUUAUUCGGAAUGAUUGGGCGUAAAGGGUGUGUAGGCGGUGUAUCAAGUCAAUUGUAAAAUUCCUUAGCCUAACUAAGGAUCGGCUGUUGAUACUGAUAUGCUUGAGGAUGGAAGAGAAAAGCGGAAUUCUCGGAGUAGCGGUAAAAUGCGUAGAUCUCGAGAGGAACACCGAUGGCGAAAGCAGCUUUUUGGUCCAUUUCUGACGCUGAGGCACGAAAGCAUGGGGAGCAAACAGG
rnacentral:rRNA from 1 species